rnacentral:tRNA from 1 species
GGCCCCAUCGUCUAGUCGGUUAAGAUAUCUCCUUGACAUGGAGAAGAUUCACUGGUUCGAAUCCAGUUGGGGCUACCA